rnacentral:rRNA from 10 species
CACAUCGACGAAGUCCCACGCCGAAGCUGACCACGAGACGCAUUUUGAGACGCAGAGUGCAUCGCGGAAAUUCAUGAAGGUUGAUGGCGGCACAA